CACGUAGGGCGCAAGCGUUGUCCGGAAUUAUUGGGCGUAAAGAGCUCGUAGGCGGUCUGUUACGUCUGCUGUGAAAACCCGGGGCUUAACCCUGGGCUUGCAGUGGAUACGGGCAGACUAGAGUGCGGUAGGGGAGACUGGAAUUCCUGGUGUAGCGGUGAAAUGCGCAGAUAUCAGGAGGAACACCGGUGGCGAAGGCGGGUCUCUGGGCCGUAACUGACGCUGAGGAGCGAAAGCGUGGGGAGCAAACAGG
rnacentral:rRNA from 1 species